GAUGAAGAACGUAGUGAAAUGCGAUACUUGGUGUGAAUUGCAGAAUCCCGUGAACCAUCGAGUCUUUGAACGCAAGUUGCGCCCGAAGCCAUUUGGUUGAGGGCACGUCUGCCUGGGCGUCACAUAUCGUUGCCCGAUGCCUAUUGCACUGUGAUAGGAAAUUCUAGGGCGAAAGAUGGCUUCCCGUGAGCGUUGUUGCCUCGCGGUUGGUUGAAAAUCGAGUCCUUGGUAGGGUGUGCCAUGAUAGAUGGUGGUCGAGUUUGCACGAGACCGAUCAUGUGUGCGCUCCCCAAAAUAUGGACUCUUUGACCCCACACGCGUGUUUUGACGCUCAUGACGAGACCUCAGGUCAGGCGGGGCUACCCGCUGAGUUUAAGCAUAUCAAUAAGCGGAGGA
rnacentral:misc_RNA from 1 species